AUACCCUGGGUAGUCCACGCAGUAAACGAUGAAUACUAACUGUCCGGGACGAUUGAGUCCUGGGUGGUACAGCGCAAUGCGUUAACUAUUCCGGCUGGGGAGUACGCCGGCGACAGUGAAACUCGAAGGAAUUGACGGGGGCCCGCACAAACGAACGAGCGUGUGGUUUAAUUCAAUGAUACGCAAGGAUCCUUACCCGGGCUCAGACGACGGACGGAUGUUUUUGAAAGGAGGCAUCCCUACUGGGCGUCCAUCUAGGUGCUGCAUGGUUGUCGUCCGCUCGUGCCGGGAGGUGUCUGCUUGACUGCCAUAACGAGCGCACCCCCCAUCGCCGGUUACCAUCAAGGGAGGUUGGGGACUCUGGACAGACUGCCGGCGCUGGCUGCAAGGAAGGCAGGAAUGACGUCCAAUCAGGACGGUCCUUACGUCCGGAGCGACACGCUUGUUACAAUGGCACGCACAGAAAGAAGGUACAUGCCGACAUGAAACGUACCUGGUAAGACCUGUCUCAGAUCGGAUUGUAGUCUGCGACCCCACUCCAUGAGACUGGAUUCUCUACUAAUCUCGCAUCAGCCACGGCGCGGUGAAUACCUUCCCGGGCCUUGUACACACCGCCCGUCAAGCCAUGCAAGCCCGGAGUGCCUGAAUUGUGCCACCGCACGGAGCGCCCUAAGGUAAAACCCGUGACUGGAGCUAAAUCGUAGCAACGUAGC
rnacentral:rRNA from 1 species